UACGUAGGGGGCAAGCGUUGUUCGGAAUUACUGGGCGUAAAGGGCGCGUAGGCGGCACGGCAAGUCGGGAGUGAAAGCCCGGGGCUCAACCCCGGAGGGUCUCUCGAAACUGCCGAGCUAGAGUGCGGAAGAGGCAAUCGGAAUUCCCAGUGUAGCGGUGAAAUGCGUAGAUAUUGGGAAGAACACCGGAGGCGAAGGCGGAUUGCUGGGCUGACACUGACGCUGAACUGCGAAAGCUAGGGGAGCGAACGGG
rnacentral:rRNA from 1 species